rnacentral:rRNA from 1 species
CCUACGGGUGGCAGUAGUGAGGAAUAUUGGUCAAUGGACGAGAGUCUGAACCAGCCAAGUAGCGUGAAGGAUGACUGCCCUAUGGGUUGUAAACUUCUUUUAUAUGGGAAUAAAAUGUUCCACGUGUGGGAUUUUGUAGGUACCAUAUGAAUAAGGAUCGGCUAACUCCGUGCCAGCAGCCGCGAUAAUACGGAGGAUACGAGCGUUAUCCGGAUUUAUUGGGUUUAAAGGGAGCGUAGGUGGAUUGUUAAGUCAGUUGUGAAAGUUUGCGGCUCAACCGUAAAAUUGCAGUUGAAACUGGCAGUCUUGAGUACAGUAGAGGUGGGCGGAAUUCGUGGUGUAGCGGUGAAAUGCUUAGAUAUCACGAAGAACUCCGAUUGCGAAGGCAGUUCACUGGACUGCAACUGACACUGAGGCUCGAAAGUGUGGGUAUCAAACAGGAUUAGAUACCCCUGUAGUC